GGUUCCGUAGUGUAGUGGUUAUCACGUUCGCUUUACACGCGAAAGGUCCCCGGUUCGAUCCCGGGUGGGACCU
rnacentral:tRNA from 1 species